GACGAACGCUGGCGGCGUGCCUAAUACAUGCAAGUCGAGCGAAGUUUUUCUGGUGCUUGCACUAGAAAAACUUAGCGGCGAACGGGUGAGUAACACGUAAAGAACCUGCCUCAUAGACUGGGACAACUAUUGGAAACGAUAGCUAAUACCGGAUAACAGUAUUUCUCGCAUGAGAGAUAUUUAAAAGUUGGUUAUGCUAACACUAUGAGAUGGCUUUGCGGUGCAUUAGCUAGUUGGUGGGGUAAAGGCCCAUCAAGGCGACGAUGCAUAGCCGACCUGAGAGGGUGAUCGGCCACACUGGGACUGAGACACGGCCCAGACUCCUACGGGAGGCAGCAGUAGGGAAUCUUCCGCAAUGGGCGAAAGCCUGACGGAGCAACGCCGCGUGAGUGAAGAAGGAUUUCGGUUCGUAAAGCUCUGUUGUUAGGGAAGAAUGGAUAUGUAGUAACUAUACAUGUAAGAGACGGUACCUAACCAGAAAGCCACGGCUAACUACGUG
rnacentral:rRNA from 1 species